AAGAUAGUUUAUUCAACAUACUUCCGCGUUUUAUGUUUACUUUUCACCUGCAAAACUAAUCACUGUAAGUCUUGAAAGAUAGAUAGCUGCAAUAUUUAACGUGCAUUUCCAGUUUUCGUAAUGUUUAUUAAGGGUUUGUCCCGCAGUAUAUCUUGGUUGCAUUAAAGCAGCUGGAUUGUUGCUUGCUAAGUAGUUUUGUAGUUAUCAGUCCUCCAACCAAAGGUCUGCGACACCUUCAGACGGCUACUCAUCCUGUUCUUUAAGAGUUACCGGCAAUCAACUACAGAGAAAUGUCUGGUAAUCCUGCUGUGGUGAUGCGGCUGGUGGCGUCGGCUUAUUCAGUGGCUGAAAAGGCUGGGGCCAUAGUAAGGAAGGUGCUUCACAGCGGAGAUCUUGGCAUCGUAGAAAAGACAGGAGCUAAUGAUCUCCAGACGCUCGCAGACCGACUGGCACAGAAAAGCAUUUGUGCCUCACUGUACAGAAGUUUCCCCAACAUCACCAUCAUUGGAGAGGAGGAUCUUCCGUCUGAGGAGGUGCAGGAGGAUCUGAUUGAGAGUGGCCAAGCAGAAGAAAUCCUUCAGAAAAGCUGUCCAGAAGAUUAUAAGGCACUCAAAGAAGAAGAACUAGUUGUUUGGGUGGAUCCCCUUGAUGGCACAAAGGAAUAUACUGAAGCUUCAAGGUGUCUCCAUCUUCAAGAUGUUGUCCAGAAACCACUCAAAGGGUUGAACAAGACUCACGGCACAGCUAUGUGGCUGUUGGACAACGUGACAGUUCUCAUUGGUAUUGCUUAUGAAGGCAGAGCAAUUGCCGGCGUCAUCAACCAGCCAUUCUACAACUACCAGCUUGGAUCAGGAGCAGCUUUAGGGAGAACGAUGUGGGGAAUGCUUGGAUUGGGCGCAUUUGGGUUCGAGCUGCGGGAAGUUCCAGCUGAUAAGCGAAUUGUCACCACCACCCGUUCCCAUAGCAACAAGACAGUGACAGACUGUGUUAACGCCAUGGAGCCUCACGAAGUUAUAAGAGUAGGGGGUGCUGGGAACAAGAUAAUCCAGCUCAUUGAAGGGAAAGCUUCUGCCUAUGUUUUUGCCAGUCCAGGGUGUAAAAAAUGGGAUACCUGUGCUCCAGAGGCAAUACUACAUGCUGUCGGAGGAAGACUGACCGACAUGUUUGGAAAUACUUAUUGCUAUAAUGCAGAUGUAAAGCACAUGAACUCUGCAGGGGUUCUUGCUACACUACGCAAUCAUGAUUACUACGUCAGCAGGGUGCCACCAUCUGUGCAGCAAGCCCUUAAGUCAGAAUGAGGACUGUCAUGAUGGCGGUCUGGGACAAAAGAAGUUCUUGGUCCUUCUAUUUCUGUCUUUUUUUUUUUUUGCCACAAUACUUCUUUUAUAAUCUUGUUAAGAAACUUUGGCCUGAGAAUUUACUUCAAAGCAAAAUUCAUGUUUUUUUUUUAUCCUGUUCUUUCCACAAAAUAGUUUUGGGAAAAGUCUCUCCCAUAUAAUGUUAUUUUAUUUGUAAAUUUGAGAGUCUU